GGGGCAUGCGAGGGCUGUCGCUGACUCAAAGUCGUGCACGCCCGAGUGUGUCGCCUCACAUAAUAAUCCAUCUCACCCUUUGUGCAUCACCGCGUGGGCACCCCUUUGGGAUCAUCUCGGAGGGGGCUCGCGUUUUCACACAAAACCCCCCUUUUAAAAGUGUAGAAUGACCUCAUUUAUGCGCUAACCCGCAAUCAAUACAACUUUCAACAACGGAUCUCUUGGCUCUCGCAUCGAUGAAGAACGCAGCGAAAUGCGAUACGCAAUGUGAAUUGCAGAAUUCAGUGAAUCAUCGAAUCUUUGAACGCACCUUGCGCCCCCUGGUAUUCCGAGGGGCACACCCGUUUGAGUGUCGUGAAAACCUCAACCUCCUUGGUUUCUUCUGGAGACCAAAGCAGGCUUGGACUUUGGAGGCCUUUGCUGGCACCUCUCGCCAGCUCCUCUUAAAUGAAUUAGCAGGGUCCUCUUUGCUGAUCCUCGACGUGUGAUAAGAUGUUUCCAUGUCUUGNUUUCUGGCUCUGUCACCUUUGGGACCCGCUUCUAACCGUCUUCAACCUUGCGUUGAGACAACGUUCGAGCAUGUCUCCCUUCUCGGGAAGCUCCCUCGACCCCACGAACCCUUGA
rnacentral:rRNA from 1 species